rnacentral:lncRNA from 1 species
UACAGUUCAGUUUGACUGCUGUUUGUAUUUUAAAAAAUGCAGAGAAUAGCACUGUGCUAUUUUAGUCCUCAAUAACCAGUACCAGUACCGUACUCGUACUUACCAUUUAACAUUAUACGGGUUGCGGGUUUUUAAUUUUUAAUUUUAAAUCCUUGUCGCUUGUCGGUCUUCUUGUCGAGUUAACGUGGUGUGGUCAAUGGUGUAGGUUGCAUGGUUUACAAGACAGGUGUUCGUGAAUGAAACCCCAAGUGAUAAUGCGUUAAAUAGCUAAAGUGAAUAUGGUUUUUGUGAAUUUGUAUUUGUUUAAUAACUUUGGAUCAGUUGUGUCAACAAUCUCAAUUUCUAAACUCAGUCCAGUUACAAAAUAUUCAACAAAUUUUUCUUGACGGUAUUUAAUAUGAAAA